ACUGAAGUAUUUAUAGCACUAAAUACAUAUAGCCGCCAUCGGUUGUAUUGAAUGUAGCUCGGAGUACAGGAUGACCAGCCCGAUAAGUCAAUACGUAAAUCCUCUUA
rnacentral:ncRNA from 1 species